rnacentral:rRNA from 1 species
UACGUAGGUGGCAAGCGUUGUCCGGAUUUACUGGGCGUAAAGAGCGCGCAGGCGGUCGGUCAAGUCGCGUGUGAAAGCCCCCGGCUCAACUGGGGAGGGUCACGCGAUACUGAUCGACUCGAAGGCAGGAGAGGGAAGUGGAAUUCCCGGUGUAGUGGUGAAAUGCGUAGAUAUCGGGAGGAACACCAGUGGCGAAGGCGACUACCUGGCCUGUUCUUGACGCUGAGGCGCGAAAGCUAGGGGAGCAAACGGG